CAUAUUUGAGAAUGAUGCUUAUUUAAUUAGAUAUGACCAAGCACUUUUAAGGAACAAAGGCUGACUUUAUGGAGCCAGUGCUUACAGAGCCCUCUUGGGAAAACUGUCCUCUAUUUGGCUUGUAGGAUUCCUAGCAUUUCAGUUGAGUAAGACAAGUUAUUUCCUGGGAGGUUCAGAAAUGUGAAGAUAUUUUGGGAACCUGAAGAAGUGUGGAAUUCACUGAAAUCUAUAGGUACUGCAGGAUCCUAAGAAGCCCUGAGAGCUGAGGUCCAACAACUUGAUGUAAACCUCAAAGGAUUCAUCAUUGCAACAGAUUAUUCAUGGGCUGAACUUUUCCCUGGACACGCUGCUGUCUGGCUGCUGUUUGGGCCAUUAAAGAAGGAAGUCCAGCAAAAUGCUCAGGUCAUGCAUGCUCUUAUAUGGGAAGCAACCAAGACUGUGGACAAUAUCACCAGAGUAUUGACGUCCUAACUUCAAGAAACCCAAUGAAUGGUGUUGUGUAAGCGAAAGAUUUUCCUCCACUGACCUCCUGGCAUCUGUCAGACUAUUUACUGUCCGGUUUCAACUCCUAGCUCUUUAGUUUAAUGCAAUCUUUUACAUUAAAUAUCUGUCUUUUUAAAUGUAAGAUGCCUGAUAUCCAGGACUUGAAAAGAACUGAUCUUUGCCACCGCCUGUCAACAGAUGGUUCAACUAAUUUUACAAGAACAAUGCCAACAAGAGCCCCUGAGAAACUGUUUCUUAGACCCUGCUUUGCGCCACACCAGAGGGCUUAUGAUCACUUCUGAGUUGUUCAGUGAGGAAUAAUAUUCACUUGUUUUGAACUGAAGGAGGAACUGGGAAUGUUAAACUUUAUCUGAGCCCUGUCCUCACAGGAAACAGUGACAGUUAAGAAAUCUCCCCACUGUUUUGUAUUCUGGGAAAUGAUUAACAACAAAGAAUCAUCCUCCUCCACAUGCGAUAGGUAAGACCUGCCUCCACGCAUCCUCAUGAUUUUCUUGUUUACCUACCUCUAUAAAACCCCAAACUCCCUACUUGCUCUUUAGCGUUCCUCACUCAUGAGUGUUCUCUCUAUUGCAAUAGCCUGAAUAAAAUAAUCUCUUUAGUUGUCUGGUGCAUUUUGUGUUUCACAUCCCAUAGAGUACAUUCCAGCUGCCUGGAAGGAUAGGAUAGGGCAACAUUGCCUGGGAU
rnacentral:lncRNA from 10 species